rnacentral:lncRNA from 1 species
CUAAUCCACACGUUUUCUUCAAGCCUCUUCUGCCUGGCAGAGUCUCUAAAGUUCUCCUACGAAUUUGUCAACAUUUGUCAUUUUAGUUCACACAGCCAGGGCAUCUAGAGCAGAUUCUAGUUUUUGCAGUUUUGCUAAAGCCCAACGCCCAUUUGUGCUGGUAGCUGUGGUAGGGAUGAUGCAGAAGGGAACAUGUUCAUCCUCACAAAAUGCUCCCCAAGGCAGCAGCCCAGAGUCUAGCACUAGGUCUGUGCUUUGAACUCAUCUAAGACAGAGCAUGCCCAAAGAGUCAUAAUUUCAGGGUGACAAGAUUGGAGGUCCGUGCUCUAUUUUCCAGCUAAAUAAGGGAGUGAGAAGUUGAGAGCUGAUACCUUCCCCUCCUCUCCCUCACUUGCAAGCACUUUGCAAAUUCUUGCUAAGGUCUCAGGCUCCAGAGGGGCCCAGGAAGGUCUUAGAACCCAGGGUAGAGAGCUGGGUUUUCCUAUGGUAGCCAGCAAGGUCUCAAGGAAGAAGGGAGGGAUGGGAGUGGCCCAAUCCUUAAUAACGUUCCUGCGGAUCUUUGUUUUCCUAAAGACUGGCUUGCGGACCGCAAGUAUGACUCCACUAGCAGCGAUGACGACGACGACAAUCCAGCUGCCUACACUCUUUGAGGAGGAGGAGUCUGUUGACAUCAACCUUCUUUUCCGAGAAUGCACAGAAGGAAUCAACGAUGUAAAAAGAGAGGAAGAAGAGGAAGAAGACAUGUUAGUGUGGAGUAGUGGGUAG